rnacentral:rRNA from 1 species
GACGAACGCUGGCGGCACGCUUAACACAUGCAAGUCGAACGGAAAGGCCUGCUUUCCCUUGUGGAUUGCGGGUACUCGAGUGGCGAACGGGUGAGUAACACGUGAGUGAUCUGCCCCCAACUUGGGUAUAAGCCUGGGAAACUGGGUCUAAUUCCCGAUAGGACUGCAGGGUGGUGCCUGUGGUGGAAAACGAUUUUCUAGUGGUUGGGGAUGAGCUCGCGGCCUAUCAGCUUGUUGGUGGGGUAAUGGCCUACCAAGGCGGCGACGGGUAGCCGGCCUGAGAGGGUGGACGGCCACAUUGGGACUGAGAUACGGCCCAGACGCCUACGGGAGGCAGCAGUGGGGAAUAUUGCACAAUGGGCGGAAGCCUGAUGCAGCGACGCCGCGUGGGGGAUGACGGCCUUCGGGUUGUAAACUCCUUUCGACCGCGAGGAAGCCACCUGGUUGGAAGGGUGGUGACGGUAGUGGUAGAAGAAGCACCGGCUAACUACGU